CUAAUUCACUCCCAAAGCCAUAUUUAUGUGUCUUUUCAGAUUCCGCACAUUCAAUCCCAGCUACUCAUUUAUCAUUUCUUUCCCAAGCGUUCAUGUAAAAACAGUCUAAAAAUGGCCGGCACUGAAUGAAUUUCGCUGGGCUGAUUGACACGAAGGCAACAUAAAAACAGACUUGUUACUUCGACAUAGGUCGUGAGACUUCAACAUAACCUCGUGAGAUAUAUUUUGUGAGUCUUCGAUGGUCUUGUAAUUCGUGAGUGCAUCUCGUAAGACUCUUGCCAAGCUCGUAAAAACAUUAACAUGUAUCGCCAGGUUUUUUUUUUUUGAUGCGCUUCAGGUAAUUCUGCAUGUUUCGUGAAGCUUCAACAAAAAUCCGGCAAGGCGGAAUUUUUCGAGACUUUGACAUCUUACAUGUCAAAAAAAUCUGUUGUGAAGACAACACAGUUUGCAAGUUCAUUUUACCAAGUCUUCAUCUUGUGAUAGUUUGCGUCCUCGUGAGACGUCAACAUAGCCCGUGAGACUGACAGCUUGCGAGACUUCGAUGGUGUUGUGACACUUUGACACAGCAUAAUUUAUAUCAAGUUAUUAUUCAAAAAAAAAAGUUUAACCACAGAGUCCAGUUGACUUUUGCAAAAAGUUACCGUUUGUAACAAAGACAAAACGCAGAUGUUAAAAUAAAAACAUCUUUUGUGCGCUAAAAUGAGUCAUUCAAUUUGUUUAAAAAAAAAUAAAAAUUCAUCAAAUCCAAUCAAAGUUGUGAACUGAAAGUUGAAUUUUGCCACCAUCCAAAUUCUCACGAGACUUUGUCUCUCACAGGACUUUUCGAUAAAGCUGCGAGAUUCUUUUCGAUUUCAUCUUGCCCAGUAUGUAAAAGAUUACGAUUGCUAUCUUGUGACUCAUUUUUUGCUGCCUUAUCGCCCCCUUUAUGUGGGCUGGAGUUCGGACAGCGCAAUCCAGAAGUGACUCAGAGUCGAAACCGUGGUCUGUACUUUUGGUCAAACGCCUCCGUGUCAGAUAUGAAUCUCGGGUGACGACGUUCCACAGCUUCCAUGAGGUGUCUCAGAAAUACACAAAUGACAUUAUCAUGACAUGGGGAGCUCCCAUCCUAAAAGUGGCAGUUAGGCUUAAUAUUAAAAAAAAAAAUGGUUGUAAAUGACUGGUUUAUUUCCCUUCACCGUUGAUAACCUGAUGAGUUAUCCACUGUAGUAACUGCUGUCACUGAAACGGUUAAAGUCCAUGUACCUGCGCUUUUCGACUGUCACCUUGGCAGAUGUCCAUUGUUUACCAAUUAAUCUAUUUUUUAUCCAUCUUACUGUUUGUAGAGCUCAUCUAGGCAAAAAAAAAAGUAAAACAAACAUUUCUCAUGGCUUCCCUCGCAUGGCACUCACUGCUUGUUGGCAGCCAUGGAAAUAAAAAGCCAUCUUAAACAGUCAGGAGCGCCAAACAGGAAGUGUAGCUCGAGCCGCAUUGCAGCGCUGGGAGCGUUGCAGGCGCGGUCGCUUUGGAAACAAUCGAGCGCAUAGUUCACAUUGUGAUUCCUGUGGGCGGUGUUGACCGAUUGUCAUCAGGCUGGAACUCGUUUUUUCACUUUAGAGCUGAAGACAAGCUUUUAAAGGUUGCGUUCGGAAUAUCUUAAUCCCUACCCCCACCCCAAUAACUAUGUAGAAUUUUUGUUCCCUAUGUGUUAAUACCUUUACUUCUGUUAAAUUCGUUUUGAGUUUAAUUGUAUUUCAAAGAAAUUUUCCGUAUUGAAAUGGACUGAAAUGCCGGUGAACUGUUUCAAAAUCCCCCAAACACUACAUGCUACAUGUUUUCAAUGAAGGUGAACUAAAAUACAAGUACAAAAACAGAAGAAUAAAAAGAAGCUGGCUUUUAGUGUAUUGAAGACAGAAUACUGCGAUAUUUGUGAGAUGUAUGCCUUUAAGGGGUGUGGCCUAAUGAGUAAUGAGACUGAUUCCAGCUCACAUCGUCCGUUUACCACGUGCUUAGUCUGCAGGUGGUGUGGUUCAUAUUUUGUAUUUAUCGGUGUUGGUCUGCUCCAUGCGCCUUGCGAGUGCUUUCAUUUUUGUAUUUGCGUGGUCGACUUGUGCUGCACAUGCCUCGCGUGGCUUUUUGUUGUGUGUGUGGUCCUGCUCGAUAAACGGCUGAAAGUGCAUUGGCGACUCCCUCCCAUCGAGCACCAUAAUGAAGAUCGGGAGUGAUUCCCAACACAGUCAAAAUGAUUUUAUUUAGGGAACUCUAGCGAGCAGAAAACGAAUCGUUUUGUUCUGUCAUUUGAUCUCAUAGCUUCCCCUGCAAACCAGUCUGCUGCAGUUUGAACUUUUGGUAAUUUGAACCGUUGAGGAUCGGCCUCCUGGCCCGCCUUGCGCAUUGGUUGCUGGCGACAGACUCCCCCCGCCCCUUCUUUUUUUUAAAAAAAGCCUCCGAUUCCAGGAACUGGGCCGUGGUGCAAGUUUAUCUUUAACCGGAUAACUCAGCUGCUCUUACUAAGAACUUUGAUGCUUGAGCUCAGAACUGUGAGAGCCUGAUUGUGGAGAUAAAAAAACGAUAAAUGUUGGCCUGCAAGGACGACAGCGAGAGACAGAAAGAAAAAAGUCUGCUUGCACAAACCGACCACACCAUUUUUCAGCUGCACGCAGCAGUGAAAUUGCACACUCUGUUUACACAACAACUUGAUGGAGUUGUUCGUUUCGUUUCGUUUUUUUUUUGAAACGUUUCACACACAUGCAUUCAGACAAACCUGUGUAAACAGGUUUAAAACAUCGUUAGGAUGGAUUACAUGUGCCCUAUUUCGAUUUCACUUUGCUCGUCCGCCUCCAUUUAGAGAAUGUGAAAGAUUAGGGGAAAAAACAAUUGAAAAACAAUGCCGAUUUAAAAGAAAGGACAGUGGAAAUAUUUUUGUGCAAAAAGAAAAUUGUGUAUAUAAUGAGCAAAGAUGCCGGCAUUCGACUAUUCAUGGAUUGCAGGUUGCAUCCAUAUUGCA